AACAGUUUUUUAAUAUUUUAGAGUAUAAUAGCUCUAAUUAAAUUUACUUAUUAUAAUCGGGAAAUUAGAAUCAGUGUUUGUUCGCCGAUUAUAAAUUAAACGGACACGUUAAUAGUUUUUUAUUUUUAUUUUUUUUAUUUUUAAUAUUCGUUUUCGGUACAGAGUAGAGUCAGUGUUUCUCGAAGGAAUAAGGCAGUCAUCCAUCACGCGAAGAGAUGCCUGAUUUUGCCAGUGUUUAUGAACAUUUCUAUUGGACUUCAAUUUUAAAAAAUAUUUGUGACUGCGUGCAAUGCGGUCUGUAGAAUCAGUGUUUGUUCCGUAACAGUUUUUUUUUAAUAUUUUAAUGCAUAAUAAUUCUUAAUAAUUAAAUUAUCAAUAUAUUGUUCGCGAAAUUAGAGUCAGUGUUUCUUCGUCGCUUAUGUUUUAAAUCGACGCGAUGAUAGUUUUUUAUUUUUUAUUUUAUUUUUUUAAAUAUUCGUUUUCGGUACAGGGUAGAGUCAGUGUUUCUCAAAAGAAUAGGACAAUCAUCCAUCACGCGAAGAGUUUCUACUCCCUGAUGAUGACUACUUCGGUGAUGACAUCUGGGGCUACGACAAUGCAGAUUCUUCGCAUCUAUUGGUGAGUCGCAUGCAUUUAUGUUCCUCCGAUCAUUCAAUCAUGUCGUAGGAAAAAAGUCCGAAUCGACACGAGUGAUUGGUUGUAUACGUAGAUUUUUGCACGAGCACAAUGACCGCGGGUAUUCAUCAUACCCGUGAAUAGUAACAUUUCUUUCUUUGUGGUUUAUUUAUUAGAUCAGGAUAGAUCUUCUUGCACGUCGCGUUUUUAA